rnacentral:rRNA from 1 species
CCUACGGGAGGCAGCAGUGAGGAAUCUUGCGCAAUGGGCGAAAGCCUGACGCAGCGACGCCGCGUGGAGGAAGACGGCCUUCGGGUUGUAAACUCCUGUCAGAGGUGAAGAAUCCCCGCAAGGGGUUGACGGUAACCUCAAAGGAAGCCCCGGCUAACUACGUGCCAGCAGCCGCGGUAAUACGUAGGGGGCAAACGUUACUCGGAAUUACUGGGCGUAAAGGGUGUGUAGGUGGUUGAGUAAGUCAAAGAUGAAAUUCCGAGGCUCAACUUCGGAAUCG